GCGCAGAGCCCCGGCCUCUGUUCUUCCCUCCCUCCAUCCUUUCCGUCUUUCGGCUCCUCCGCCCGGACGGCGGGGUCAGCCCUGGUCUCCAUUCGGCCUUUUCCUGCUCUCCUCCGUCACCCCGCCGCCCGUCUCGCUGCACAGCUGCCUCGGCCCGGUUCUUCUGAAGUCCCGAGCCCAGCUGUGAGUUCAGGCUUCGGUGCUCUUGCAAAGAAUUUUCAGAAUUUGGAGUCUGAAAGAAUUCUAUUGUAACUAUUGCUCACUGAAAUGUAACCCCAGCCAACCUCCGUACACUGGGCAAAGCCUCCAGAGCGGUAGGUGGGCGGCACUGCUGUGGCAGGCAGGCGUUCCUGGCAGGGAGUUCCAGGGAUCGGAGGCUUACACAUGUCAUCCAGGCACAAGCUCCGUGCUACUCACACCCUGCUGGGAAGAGAGAACUGAAGGAUCUAGCAGGCUGCUCAUGCUCUACUCUGAGGAAGUGAACAGAGAAGGUCCUGAUGCUGCGGGCUUAGGAAAGGCCGAAGGGUGCAUGAACUACUGGAUGUUCACUGUGUGUGUGGGAAGAAAGUAGGAAACUUUUGCAGGACUGACAGGGAAGGCGGAUCAAGAGACAGACAAGAGGCUACAGAGCUGGCAUCGCCCUUUUGCCCUUUGAAAGAAGUGGCCUGGAGCUGGCCUGGAAGAAUGGCUGCAGGAUGGGCUUGGAUGGUUUCCCUCUACACAUUAACUUGAAACAAAAGGCUGUAUGUUUAUGUGACAAAAUAGUACCACUUGAUCUGCCAAUUCCUCUAAGGGCUAGAAGAGCGCUUAGCUGGACUCUGUAACUUGAUCUACAACGAACUGGACUGAGCCAGCCUGAGCUGAUAUUUUCCUUCAAUGAUGGCCAUACAGAGCUUGGUGGUCAGUGUUCCCUCAUGGGCCUUCAUCCUAUAAGAAUUUAAAUCAGCUCUCAGCCCAAGGAGAGAGGGUCUUUGAAGAAUGCUCCUUUUGUCCAUGCCAUUGGGCACAGGCUAUGGGGCCUAGGAAGGCUGAAUGCCUUGUUUUGGAAAUAGCUGGUCAGGUGGCACACUUGCGGAAGGAGUGUGCACAGUGUACACACCUAAAAUGCCAUUGUGCUCUGUGGGAUUGCUUUAGGUCUGACACCUAUGGAAUUAUUAUAAAUGCAUUAUAUAGCGAAGUCUCCAUUUCUUUACUUAAGUAUAACUGGCAAAGCGUGCUGUUUUGUACCCCUCCUUGUCUUUCAGGGCAACUAAUGUCUAACUACCUGGCUAACACCUUACAUCUUUGUUCCACUAGGCUCAGCAAAAGAAAGCUCUAGCUUAGUUUUAUCUCUUUUCAACACACUUGCUGUUUUAUUCUUAUUAGUGCUAUGAGCUGAGCUGUACUCACUCUUAUUGUAUCUUUUUCUGUGUUGAAGCCCUAGUUCCUUGUACCUCAAACUGUGACUGCUUUGGGAAAUAGGACUUAAAAGAGAGUGAAGUUAAAAGAAGAUCUUGAGGGUGGGUCCUACCCCAGCAUGACUGGUGUUGUUAUAAGGAGAGGGGAUUUAGAGAGAGACACAGAAUGGAACUGGGAAUUGAACUCAGGACCUUGCGCUGGCCAAGCAAGGAAGGUGUUGUACCGCUGAGCUAUAUCCCCAAGAGACACAAAGUGAAGCCAUGCGAGGAUGUAGAAAACACCUACAAGCCAAGGAGAGAGACCUCAAGGGAAAUCAACCUGCUCACACCUUGAUUUUGGACUUCCAACCUCCAG